GGUGGAUGUGAAGGACUCAGUGGUAGAACAUCUGUUUCACAUACAGAAGGUCACUGGUUCAAUCCCAAGAAUUUCCA